rnacentral:rRNA from 1 species
AACGAACGCUGGCGGCAUGCCUAACACAUGCAAGUCGAACGAGACCUUCUGGUCUGGUGGCGCACGGGUGCGUAACGCGUGGGAAUCUGCCGUUUGUUCGGAAUAACAGUUGGCAACGACUGCUAAUACCGGAUGAUGACGAAAGUCCUACGAUUUAUCGCCAGAGGAUGAGCCCGCGUAGGAUUAGCUAGUUGGUGUGGUAAAGGCGCAUCAAGGCGACGAUCCUUAGCUGGUCUGAGAGGAUGAUCAGCCACACUGGGACUGAGACACGGCCCAGACUCCUACGGGAGGCAGCAGUGGGGAAUAUUGGACAAUGGGCUAAAGCCUGAUCCAGCAAUGCCGCGUGAGUGAUGAAGGCCUUAGGGUUGUAAAGCUCUUUUACCCGGGAUGAUAAUGACAGUACCGGGAGAAUAAGCUCCGGCUAACUCCGUGCCAGCCGCCGCGGUAA